CCUACGGGUGGCUGCAGUGGGGAAUAUUGGGCAAUGGAGGCAACUCUUACCCAGCAAUGCCGCGUGAAUGAAGAAGGUCUUCGGAUUGUAAAGUUCUUUAAUUGGGGACGAAAAAAAUGACGGUACCCAAGGAAUAAGCCCCGGCUAACUACGUGCCAGCAGCCGCGGUAAUACGUAGGGGGCAAGCGGUGGUCGGGAUGACUGGGCGUAAAGGGGGUGGAGGGGGUGUAGCAAGGUAGAAUGGAAAUACCUCGAGCUUAACUCAGGUGCUGCUUCUAAAACUGCGAUACUUGAGUGCAGGAGAGGAAAGUGGAAUUCCUAGGGUAGCGGUGGAAUGCGUAGAUAUUAGGAGGAACAUCAGUGGCGAAGGCGACUUUCUGGACUGUAACUGACGCUGAGGCACGAAAGUGUGGGGAGCAAACAGGAUUAGAUACCCCAGUAGUC
rnacentral:rRNA from 1 species